rnacentral:misc_RNA from 1 species
GAUGAAGAACGCAGCGAACUGCGAUAAGUAAUGUGAAUUGCAGAAUUCAGUGAAUCAUCGAGUCUUUGAACGCACAUUGCGCCCCCUGGCAUUCCGGGGGGCAUGCCUGUCCGAGCGUCAUUGCUGCCCUUCAAGCCCGGCUUGUAUGUUGGGUCGUCGUCCCCCCCGGGGGACGGGCCCGAAAGGCAGCGGCGGCACCGCGUCCGGUCCUCGAGCGUAUGGGGCUUUGUCACCCGCUCGAUUAGGGCCGGCCGGGCGCCAGCCGGCGUCUCCAACCUUCUAUUUUACCAGGUUGACCUCGGAUCAGGUAGGGAUACCCGCUGAACUUAAGCAUAUCAAUAAGCGGAGGA